CCGGACUACAAUUUUAUUCAAUCCCAAAGGAGCUAGAUCGGCGGAAUAAAUGGCUGGCUUCAAUCAGAAGGGACCACUGGAAGCCAACUUCUAACUCCAGAUUGUGCAGUCAACACUUUGUCACCGGAAGAAAAAAUGACAACCCCAUGAGCCCUGGUUAUGUACCCAGCCUGUUUGCACACACUUCAGCUGGACAGUGGCAGAAAAACAUCUAUGCCAACAAUAGAGGCUUCACUGUCAAAGAUACGGUUGGCCUGUAUUGUACACAGUUGAAAAUACCAGCAUUCACCAAAGGCAAGCAGCAACUGCAUCCACUGGAACUAGAAGCAACAAGGGGACUGGCUGCCAUCAGGAUCCAUGUGGAAAGAGUCAUCGGCCUGGUCAAGAACAAGUACACCAUCCUUCAGACCACUGUCUCUCUGCCAAGCAGCCACUCAAGGACAACCUACCUCCCUUGACAAGAUGGUAACUGUUUGCUGUGCUCUUCGUAAUAUUUGUCCAUCUGUGGUCCUCAGAGAAUAGACAGGCAGUAGUUGUAUGUAAAAUGUAAAACUGACAC